rnacentral:tRNA from 1 species
GAGACAGUAGUUUAACGGUGAGAACUUCAGAUUGUGGCUCUGAAGAUAGCGGUUCGAUUCCGCUCUGUCUCC